rnacentral:rRNA from 1 species
AGUGAACGCUGGCGGUGGGCCUAACACAUGCAAGUCGAACGGCAGCACAGUAAGAGCUUGCUCUUACGGGUGGCGAGUGGCGGACGGGUGAGGAAUACAUCGGAAUCUACUUUUUCGUGGGGGAUAACGUAGGGAAACUUACGCUAAUACCGCAUACGACCUACGGGUGAAAGCAGGGGAUCUUCGGACCUUGCGCGAUUGAAUGAGCCGAUGUCGGAUUAGCUAGUUGGCGGGGUAAAGGCCCACCAAGGCGACGAUCCGUAGCUGGUCUGAGAGGAUGAUCAGCCACACUGGAACUGAGACACGGUCCAGACUCCUACGGGAGGCAGCAGUGGGGAAUAUUGGACAAUGGGUGCAAGCCUGAUCCAGCCAUACCGCGUGGGUGAAGAAGGCCUUCGGGUUGUAAAGCCCUUUUGUUGGGAAAGAAAAGCAGCAGGUUAAUACCCCGCUGUUCUGACGGUACCCAAAGAAUAAGCACCGGCUAACUUCGUG